UCCACAUCUUUUCAUCAUCGGUAUACGCAGAGAUCUUUCGAUAAUAAGCCUGCACAUGGGUGCGAGGGCAAGAAGUACCGUUGUAUUUGUCGAAUGACGGUGCUUUGAACUUGUGAGGGAUUCUCAAACCUUCAACCAACCCCAUAUUAGUAACAUCAAAACCGAGAGAAUUCUGACUUUCCAUAGCACGGAUCUUCUCAGCAAGAGCUUCAACUUUACGGUCUCUCUCAUUAACCCUUCCCAGAACGUCUUCGUCUUCACUGAGCAGAGAGAACAUAUCCUCUUGUCUGUCAACAAUCGGAACAGGAUUACGGGCCGGGGCACG
rnacentral:lncRNA from 1 species